rnacentral:rRNA from 1 species
UGAAGGCCUUCGGGUUGUAAACCGCYGUCARARRRGMGGAAAUGCUAKGGGGUUCUCUSCAUAGUUUGACCUAAUCYCARARGAAGUGCAGGCUAAGUUCGUGCCAGCAGCCGCGGUAAUACGAACUGSACAAACGUUWUUCGGAAUCACUGGGCUUAAAGAGUCCGUAGGCGGCCUGGAAGGUGAGGUGUGAAAUCCCACAGCCCAACUGUGGAACUGCACUUCAAACCGUCAGGCUCGAGGGAGACAGGGGUGAGCGGAACUGAUGGUGGAGCGGUGAAAUGCGUUGAUAUCAUCAGGAACACCGGUGGCGAAGGCGGCUCACUGGGUCUCUUCUGACGCUGAGGGACRAAAGCUAGGGGAGCGAACGGGAUUAGAUACCCCGGUAGUCCUAGCUGUAAACGAUGAGCACUAGAUCGAAGAGACUUCCACAUCUUUUCGGUCGUAGCGAAAGCGUUAAGUGCUCCGCCUGGGGAGUAUGGUCSCAAGGCUGAAACUCAAAGGAAUUGACKGGRGCUCACACAAGCGGUGGAGGAUGUGGYUUAMUUCGAGGCUACGCRAAGAACCUUAUCCGASUCUUGAYAUGCUUGGGAACACCCUGKAAACAGGGUGGUGCCUUUCGGGGAACCCUUGCWCAGGUGCUGCAUGGCUGUCGKCAGCUCGUGUCGUGAGAUGUCGGGUUAAGUMCCKUMACKAGCGAAACCCUUGUCUUCAGUUGCY